rnacentral:rRNA from 1 species
GACGAACGCUGGCGGCGUGCUUAACACAUGCAAGUCGAACGGAAAGGCCCUGCUUUUGUGGGGUGCUCGAGUGGCGAACGGGUGAGUAACACGUGAGUAACCUGCCCUUGACUUUGGGGUAACUUCAGGAAACUGGGGCUAAUACCGGAUAGGAGCUCCUGCUGCAUGGUGGGGGUUGGAAAGUUUCGGCGGUUGGGGAUGGACUCGCGGCUUAUCAGCUUGUUGGUGGGGUAGUGGCUUACCAAGGCUUUGACGGGUAGCCGGCCUGAGAGGGUGACCGGCCACAUUGGGACUGAGAUACGGCCCAGACGCCUACGGGAGGCAGCAGUGGGGAAUAUUGCACAAUGGGCGGAAGCCUGAUGCAGCAACGCCGCGUGCGGGAUGACGGCCUGCGGGUUGUAAACCGCUUUCGCCUGUGACGAAGCGUGAGUGACGGUAAUGGGUAAAGAAGCACCGGCUAACUACGUG